rnacentral:rRNA from 1 species
AGGACGAACGCUGGCGGCGUGCUUAACACAUGCAAGUCGAGCGGUAAGGCCUUUCGGGGUACACGAGCGGCGAACGGGUGAGUAACACGUGGGUGAUCUGCCCUGCACUUCGGGAUAAGCCUGGGAAACUGGGUCUAAUACCGGAUAUGACCUCAGGUUGCAUGACUUGGGGUGGAAAGAUUUAUCGGUGCAGGAUGAGCCCGCGGCCUAUCAGCUUGUUGGUGGGGUAAUGGCCUACCAAGGCGACGACGGGUAGCCGACCUGAGAGGGUGACCGGCCACACUGGGACUGAGACACGGCCCAGACUCCUACGGGAGCAGCAGUGGGGAA